rnacentral:rRNA from 1 species
AUGAACGCUGGCGGCGUGCCUAAUACAUGCAAGUCGAGCGAACAGACGAGGAGCUUGCUCCUCUGACGUUAGCGGCGGACGGGUGAGUAACACGUGGAUAGCCUACCUAUAAGACUGGGAUAACUUCGGGAAACCGGAGCCAAUACCGGAUAAUAUAUUGAACCGCAUGGUUCAAUAGUGAAAGACGGUUUUGCUGUCACUUAUAGAUGGAUCCGCGCCGCAUUAGCUAGUUGGUAAGGUAACGGCUUACCAAGGCAACGAUGCGUAGCCGACCUGAGAGGGUGAUCGGCCACACUGGAACUGAGACACGGUCCAGACUCCUACGGGAGGCAGCAGUAGGGAAUCUUCCGCAAUGGGCGAAAGCCUGACGGAGCAACGCCGCGUGAGUGAUGAAGGUCUUCGGAUCGUAAAACUCUGUUAUUAGGGAAGAACAAAUGUGUAAGUAACUAUGCACGUCUUGACGGUACCUAAUCAGAAAGCCACGGCUAACUACGUG